AGUGAACGCUGGCGGUAGGCCUAACACAUGCAAGUCGAACGGCAGCACAGUAAGAGCUUGCUCUUACGGGUGGCGAGUGGCGGACGGGUGAGGAAUACAUCGGAAUCUACUUUUUCGUGGGGGCUAACGUAGGGAAACUUACGCUAAUACCGCAUACGACCUACGGGUGAAAGCAGGGGAUCUUCGGACCUUGCGCGAUUGAAUGAGCCGAUGUCGGAUUAGCUAGUUGGCGGGGUAAAGGCCCACCAAGGCGACGAUCCGUAGCUGGUCUGAGAGGAUGAUCAGCCACACUGGAACUGAGACACGGUCCAGACUCCUACGGGAGGCAGCAGUGGGGAAUAUUGGACAAUGGGCGAAAGCCUGAUCCAGCCAUACCGCGUGGGUGAAGAAGGCCUUCGGGUUGUAAAGCCAUGUUGUUGGGAAAGAAAAGCAGCAGGUUAAUACCCCGCUGUUCUGACGGUACCCAAAGAAUAAGCACCGGCUAACUUCGUG
rnacentral:rRNA from 1 species